GAGUGAUGUCGUGCUACCCGCAUCUGAAUAUAUAGGGUGCGGGAGGGAACGCGGGGAAGUGAAACAUCUCAGUACCCGUAGGAGGAGAAAACAAUUGUGAUUCCGCAAGUAGUGGCGAGCGAACGCGGAACAGGCUAAACCGCACGCAUGGGUAACCGGGUAGGGGUUGUGUGUGCGGGGUUGUGGGAGGAUAUGUCUCAGCGCUACCCGGCUGAGAGGCAGUCAGAAAGUGUCGUGGUUAGCGGAAGUGGCCUGGGAUGGUCUGCCGUAGACGGUGAGAGCCCGGUACGCGAAAACCCGGCACCUGCCUAGUAUCAAUUCCCGAGUAGCAGCGGGCCCCCAAAACCGGAUCGAUCACUCCCCUUCGGGGGUGUGGAGUUCUGGGGCUGCGUGGGAACUUCGCUGGUAGUAGUCAAGCGAAGGGGUGACGCAGGAAGGUAGCCGUACCAGUCAGUGGUAACACUGGGGCAAGCCGGUAGGGAGAGCGAUAGGCAAAUCCGUCGCUCACUAAUCCUGAGAGGUGACGCAUAGCCGGUUGAGGCGAAUUCGGUGAUCCUCUGCUGCCAAGAAAAGCCUCUAGCGAGCACACACACGGCCCGUA
rnacentral:rRNA from 2 species